UUUAAAAAAAGAAAAAGACACGUUCAAACUCAGUUAUCGUCUCUGUCCCUCAAAGGCUCAAACUAGAUUUAGGAGUUCAUCGCUGAACUUUUAUAGCUGGAAUCACUUGUCCCUGAAAAUUAGAUUUCAGAAUCGCUGAAUUGCUCAAAACUUAAUUUCAAUUUCAAAUACCUCUUGCUCAAAUUACUCUAGUAAUUCAGAUCGCUCAAAUCGGUGAAAUCUCUCAAAAUCAUCGCUCAAAUCGGUGAAAUCUCUCAAAAUCAGUUUGGAAUUGCUUCAGCAUCAACUCAAUUGUUGGAAUUGUUCACACCUGAAACUCAUAAGACAGAGGAUACAACUGUGAUUUGUGGGCUCAAAGUUGUGCAUAUUUCCUGACAGCGUGGCUUUGUGAAACAUGUGUACGUAUUCACAAUGAUGUCCCAUCUGAUGCCUUAUCUGCACAGCAUGGAUGGACGAUCGCUUCCUUUUCUAAUGUUGAGAGGCUUGGUAGAGAAAAAUCUAUUGAGGCUGAUUUGCCCCUUUCAGCUGAUGUUGCAGUUAUAAUGUACACAAGUGGAAGCAGAGGCUUGCCCAAGGGUGUGAUGAUGACACAUGGAAAGAGCAGCGUUUGUGAAAAACUCUCUUCACAGAAGCCAAAUCAUCACCAAUAGCAUGGUUUCCAUGAUAGAUUUGGUUGAAUCGAACAAAUACAAAUUAUAGCAUAUCAUGUAUCAUAGAAUAAUCAAUAUCAAUAAGAACGGUGUACCUUGUUAGGAUUGGAAAGACUGUCGGUUGAGGAGAGGGAAUAUGAGAGGAUUACUACCCUCAUUGCCGUUUAGGGUUUUCACUGUAUCUUAAUCGUUUAAUGGGGAAACGCUUAAAUAGCUAAACGGCUGAGGGCAGAGACCUCUCAUUGGGCUUAACUGAAUGGUCCAACCCAUCACGGUCCAUUCAGGCACAAAGCCCAAUCAAACAAUCCAUCAAGAAUUAGUGUUUAAUAAUAUUUCACCUUAAUAUAA